rnacentral:rRNA from 1 species
CCUACGGGCGGCAGCAGUGAGGAAUAUUGGUCAAUGGUCGGGAGACUGAACCAGCCAAGCCGCGUGAGGGAUGAAGGUACAGAGUAUCGUAAACCUCUUUUGUCAGGGAACAAAGGCGGGGACGUGUCCCCGGAUGAGUGUACCUGAAGAAAAAGCAUCGACUAACCCCGUGCCAGCCGCCGCGGUAAUACGGAGGAUGCGAGCGUUAUCCGGAUUUAUUGGGUUUAAAGGGUGCGCAGGCGGUCGUGUAAGUCAGCGGGCAAAGCCCGGGGCUCAACCCGGGACCGCCGUUGAAACUGGCAGGCUAGAGUUGGAGAGAGGUAUGCGGAAUGCGCGGUGUAGAGGUGAAAUGCAUAGAGAUCGCGCAGAACUCCGAUUGCGAAGGCAGCAUGCCGGCUCCACACUGACGCUGAGGCACGAAAGCGUGGGUAGCGAACAGGAUUAGAUACCCCGGUAGUC